GUGACUCUAUCUGUGAAAAGUGCUCUACAAAUAAAAUUUACUUACUUACUUACUUACUUAAUGUAAAACAUACUUUAUUAAAUCCGGAUCUGAGGAACUAAAUCUCUGCGUUAAACACAGGAGUAUUUCCUCCACUCCAUCUGUCUGACAAAUUGAACCCCUUACACAAUUUUGACCCCUCUGAUCAGUUGAAACCACGUAUUUCCAAUGUGUUGAUGUUGAAGGAGGAGGUGUUUCCUUCAUAUGUUUAGUCUCCUUUUCUCCUUUUUGAGCUCAUGAAAAGUUGAGUGUUAGUAGUAACAUUUCCAUUAGGAUGAUUCAGAAUCACUUGCCUACAUUAUUGUUUUAGUUCUAUUAAGAUGUGUUAAAUUAUUUGCUAUAUAGAUUUGGACAGUCAAAGCAACUUGCCCAAGCUAAAAUAUAUUGGUUUAGAUUUAAUAUCUGUUUUCAGCCCACAGUGACUAACAGAGGUGGAGAAGAAAUGGAUUUGGUUCAGCCAGACUGAAAAAAAGCAGUAGUUUUGAUCCAGUGCAGUUCGUUGUUGCAGCUCACAUCAUUCCAUGUGCCUUUGGAAAAGAUCUCACCACAGUUCUGUUGACCCAAUACAGGUUUAUUGGCACCGUUGUUAGGCUGCCCUGGAGUCCAGAACCUGACAUGUGGGUCUACAUGGCGAAGAGGUGAAGAGGUGAAGGUGCUGAGUCUGCUCUGGUCGAAGAUGCUGAAGCCUUGCCAGAGAUGGAUGAAGAUAGUGUCGCCUUCCUCCAGCUGCACCGUCAUGCUGUUAGAGCCACAGCCGGUUGAUCCCCAUGUGUCGUGGAUCUCAAAGAGGAAUUCGCUGUUCUUCACCAAUGUUGCAUCCAAUUUACCUGAUUUUCCCAUGCAGCCAGUGAAAGAGAAGUAGUAGACACCCUUUGUGGGGGCUGUGAAGAUGCCUGCAGACAAACAACAGAAAAUACUCAAACCUAAAUCUAAAAUUCAAUACAGACAAUUACAACAUCAGACAACAAUGUAUCCACUGGACAUUGAUAUUACACAUGUAAUGAGAACAUGAUGGGUCAUUAAAGGAUGGUCAGUGGACAGGAGGAAAGAGAGGGAAGGGGGAUUAACAAACUCAGAAUGUAAAAUGGAGGAUUAGGACCACACUGAGGGAGGAACACCACAUAUUUGAAGAAAAAAAAUCAUGGUGCAAGAAGAAAGUCAUACCUACAGGAAUAAAGUAAAAAAUAUUUGAGUUUAAAAUAUUGUGUUAAUGUGCUCUGAUACUUGUAAAACACUGUAAAUAUGUCUGAAGACUUAUACAUAUAUGCACAUUACAGCUCAUUAUAUAGGUAUGCUCAUAAUUGAUUCUAAACAUUUGCAUAAGGAGUUGUGAUUCAUGUAAAAUGUAAAUCACUAUGGCUAUGACUUUACA